rnacentral:rRNA from 1 species
GACGAACGCUGGCGGCGUGCUUAAUACAUGCAAGUCGAACGGACAGGUCAUGCUCUUGUGGGGUGCACGUGAGGCGAACGGGUGAGUAACACGCGAGUAACAUGUACUUGUCUUUGGGAUAACACUAGGAAACUGGGGCUCAUAUAGGAUAGGAGCUACUGAUGCACGGUGGGGGUUGGAAAGUUUCGGCGGUUGGGGAUGGACUCGCGGCUUAUCCGCUUGUUGGGGGAGUAGUGGCUUACCAAGUUUUCGACGGGUAGCCGGCCUGGGAGGUGGACCGGCCACAUUGGGACUGAGGGACGCCCCAGACUCCUACGUGAGGCAGCAGUGGGGAAUAUUGCACAGUGGGCGGAAGUCAGAGGCAGCAACGCCGCGUGCGUAAUGACGGCCUUCGAGUUGUAAACCGCUGUCUCCUUUGACGAAGCGGGAUUGACGGUAAUUGAUAAGAAAGCACCGGCUAACUACGUG